UUGACCUCGGAUCAGGUAGGACUACCCGCUGAACUUAAGCAUAUCAAUAAGCGGAGGAAAAGAAACCAACAGGGAUUGCCCCAGUAACGGCGAGUGAAGCGGCAACAGCUCAAAUUUGAAAUCUGGCCUUCGGGUCCGAGUUGUAAUUUGGAGAGGAUGCUUCUGGCGCGGCGCCGUCCGAGUUCCUUGGAACAGGACGCCAUAGAGGGUGAGA
rnacentral:rRNA from 1 species